rnacentral:rRNA from 1 species
CCUACGGGCGGCAGCAGUAGGGAAUCUUUCUCAAUGGGGGAAACCCUGAAGCAGCAACGCCGCGUGGAGGAUGAAGGUUUUAGGAUUGUAAACUCCUUGUGUUGGGGGAGAUUAUGACGGUGUCUAACGCAUAAGCACAGGCUAACUCCGUCCCAGCAGCCGCGGUAAUACGGAGGGUGCAAGCGUGACUCGGAAUCACUGGGCGUAAAGAGUGAGUAGGCGGGGUAAUAAGUCAGAUGUGAAAUCCUGUAGCUUAACUACAGAACUGCAUUUGAAACUGUUACUCUGGAGUGUGGGAGAGGUAGGUGGAAUGCUUGGUGUAGGAGUAAAAUGCGUAGAGAUCAAGAGGAAGACUCAUGGCGAAGGCGAGUUGCUGGAACAUUACUGACGCUGAUGCACGAAGGCGAGGGGAGCAAAAGGGAUUAGAUACCCUGGUAGUC